UAUGGUAAUAAAUGGACAAUGAAAUAAACCAAUUGGACCCGGGGGCGGUACCCGGCGCCUCCACCAAAAUAUAAUAAAAUAAAGAUUAUAUUUUUAUGGGGGCGAAACAGGAUCGACAAGGGUGUAAAGAUUGCUCUUUUACUCGGCAUUGUACCACCGUUAUCGGACUAAAUGAGUAGUUGCAAAUGACAACUAUGCGGAAGCACGUCUCAUCGCUGCUUAAGCGAUGCGAAAGCUUCAAACUAAGUCUUAAACCGUCGCAGGUCUAAGCGGGGUUCGAAGGCACCUG
rnacentral:tmRNA from 1 species